UGUGCCUACGGGAGGCAGCAGUGAGGAAUAUUGGUCAAUGGGCUUACGCCUGAACCAGCCAAGUCGCGCGAGGGAAGACUGCCCUAUGGGUUGUAAACCUCUUUUGUCAGGGAGCAACGCUGGCUACGUGUAGCCGGACUGAGAGUACCUGAAGAAAAAGCAUCGGCUAACUCCGUGCCAGCAGCCGCGGUAAUACGGAGGAUGCGAGCGUUAUCCGGAUUUAUUGGGUUUAAAGGGUGCGCAGGCGGAGGUGCAAGUCAGCGGUCAAAUUGCGGGGCUCAACCCCGUACUGCCGUUGAAACUGG
rnacentral:rRNA from 1 species